GAUGAAGAACGUAGCGAAAUGCGAUAAGUAAUGUGAAUUGCAGAAUUCAGUGAAUCAUCGAAUCUUUGAACGCACAUUGCGCCCUUUGGUAUUCCUUAGGGCAUGCCUGUUCGAGCGUCAUUUAAACCUUCAAGCUCAGCUUGGUGAUGGGUGACUGUCCUCCCCUCGCGGGGGGACUCGCCUCAAAAACAUUGGCGGCCGGUACAUUGGCUUCGAGCGCAGCAGAAACGCGGUCUCGAGUCCGGUGGAUCGGCUCCCAUAAGUCUAUUCUUUUAUUUUGACCUCGGAUCAGGUAGGGAUACCCGCUGAACUUAAGCAUAUCAAUAAGCGGAGGA
rnacentral:misc_RNA from 1 species